AUUGAACGCUGGCGGCAUGCUUUACACAUGCAAGUCGAACGGUAACAGGGAGCUUGCUCCGCUGACGAGUGGCGAACGGGUGAGUAAUGCGUCGGAACGUGCCGAGUAGUGGGGGAUAACGCAGCGAAAGUUGUGCUAAUACCGCAUACGUACUGAGGUAGAAAGUGGGGGACCUUCGGGCCUCACGCUAUUCGAGCGGCCGACGUCUGAUUAGCUAGUAGGUGAGGUAAAGGCUCACCUAGGCGACGAUCAGUAGCGGGUCUGAGAGGAUGAUCCGCCGAGCUGGGACUGAAAAACGGCCCAGAGUCCUACGGGAGGAAGCAGUGGGGAAUUUUGGACAAUGGGCGGAAGCCUGAUCCAGCCAUGCAGCGUGUCUGAAGAAGGCCUUCGGGUUGUAAAGGACUUUUGUCGGGGAGGAAAUCCCCAGCGUUAAUACCGCUGGGGGAUGACAGUACCUGAAGAAUAAGCACCGGCUAACUACGUGCCAGCCGCCGCAGUAACAC
rnacentral:rRNA from 1 species